rnacentral:rRNA from 1 species
ACAGAGGGCUGCAAGCUAGCGAUAGUGAGCGAAUCCCAAAAAGUGCGUCGUAGUCCGGAUUGGAGUCUGCAACUCGACUCCAUGAAGUCGGAAUCGCUAGUAAUCGUAGAUCAGAAUGCUACGGUGAAUACGUUCCCGGGCCUUGUACACACCGCCCGUCACACCAUGGGAGUGGGCUGCAAAAGAAGUGGGUAGUUUAACCUUCGGGAGGACGCUCACCACUUUGUGGUUCAUGACUGGGGUGAAGUCGUAACAAGGUAGCCCUAGGGGAACCUGGGGCUGGAUCACCUCCUUA